GAUUUUUCCCCCAAAUUCAAGCAAAAUGAUAGCAAUUUCUCUAUCCUCUUUCAUUUGCACGUAACUUUUUCCUCCUUUAUUUUCUCUCUCCUACUUUCUCUCUCUUACUUUCCCAAUUCUUCUACCAAUUUCAUGACACUAAUUCAAAUCUAGCUUCAAUUACUUUGAUUUUCAACAAUUUCUUAGCUCUACAAUCUAUUAUCAAUAAAUCGUUGAUUAAGCAGACGAUAACUCGAAUUGAAGUUGUCCGACGAAAACGAAACGCGACGCAGAAGUUUUGGAGGAAAGACAUUGUUGAUCUGGUUGCUAAUGGCCUCGAGAAGAACGCUUAUGGAAGACUCGGAUUGGUGUUUGGUCAGUGGCGCAGCGGCCGAGAUUUGGUACAGUGGCGAGCUAAUGGUUGCAGGUGGUUGUGCGAUUGGAGGUGGAGCUACUUGAGUGAUAGCCUGAUAGGCUUACAUAUAUUUUGGCAUGUGGUGACAUAGGAGUAGUUAUCUUAUUUUUAUAUAUAGUGAACUUUGGGUAAACGGUUGUAACCUUGUUUCUAUAUAUAGUGACCUUUGUGGCUUUGUGUAUAUAUCAUCAAAAUAGUUAUACUUUAAUAUAGUUAGGUUUUUUUUUUUUUUUUUUUUUUAGUGACCUCUGGGUAAAUGGUGUCAAAUUGAUAUAAAUAUCCCAAGUUUAUACAUAGCUACCUUAUUUUUGUAUAUAAUGUCCUAAGCAUCAUGGAUACGUUGUAAAAUUUGUUUCAGUCAGCUUAUUUUUGUAUAUAGCAAUUUUUAUGUAAA